rnacentral:rRNA from 1 species
UCCAGACUCCUACGGGAGGCAGCAGUGGGGGAUAUUGCACAAUGGGGGGAACCCUGAUGCAGCGACGCCGCGUGGGUGAAGGAGUGCUUCGGCAUGUAAAGCCCUAUCGGCAGGGAAGAAGCAAGACGGUACCUGACUAAGAAGCCCCGGCUAACUACGUGCCAGCAGCCGCGGUAAUACGUAGGGGGCGAGCGUUUUCCGGAUUCACUGGGGGGAAAGGGAGCGUAGACGGGCAUGCAAGCCAGGGGGGAAAGGCCGGGGGCCAACCCCGGGGAUGGCCUUGGAACUGGGGGGCGGGAGUGCAGGAGGGGCAGGCUGGAUUCCUGGGGUAGCGGGGAAAUG